rnacentral:tRNA from 1 species
UNAAAAAGAUAGGAGUUGAACCUAC